UAACUGAAGAGUUUGAUCAUGGCUCAGAUUGAACGCUGGCGGCAGGCUUAACACAUGCAAGUCGAGCGGGGGAAGGUAGCUUGCUACUGGACCUAGCGGCGGACGGGUGAGUAAUGCUUAGGAAUCUGCCUAUUAGUGGGGGACAACAUCUCGAAAGGGAUGCUAAUACCGCAUACGUCCUACGGGAGAAAGCAGGGGAUCUUCGGACCUUGCGCUAAUAGAUGAGCCUAAGUCGGAUUAGCUAGUUGGUGGGGUAAAGG
rnacentral:rRNA from 1 species